CACGUAGGGCGCGAGCGUUGUCCGGAAUUAUUGGGCGUAAAGAGCUCGUAGGCGGCCUGUUGCGUCCGCUGUGAAAGCCCGGGGCUUAACCCCGGGUCUGCAGUGGAUACGGGCAGGCUAGAGGUAGGUAGGGGAGAAUGGAAUUCCCGGUGUAGCGGUGAAAUGCGCAGAUAUCAUUUGGAACGCCAAUGGUGAAAACAGGUAGCUGGGGCUGUGCUGACGCUGAGACACGAAAGCCAGGGGAGCGAAUGGG
rnacentral:rRNA from 1 species